rnacentral:rRNA from 1 species
AAUGAACGUUGGCGGCGUGGAUUAGGCAUGCAAGUCAAGCGCUCAUAGCAAUAUGGGAGCGGCGAACGGCGUAGGAAUUCAUAGGAACGUACCCUCAGGACGGGGAUAGCUACGGGAAACUGUAGGUAAUACCCGAUGAUCUCCGCGGAGCAAAGGUGUGAUUCCGCCUGAGGAGCGGCUUAUGCGAUAUUAGCUAGUUGGUGGGGUAAUGGCCUACCAAGGCGACGAUGUCUAGGGGGUGUGAGAGCAUGGCCCCCACGACCGGAACUGAGAUACUGUCCGGACACCUACGGGUGGCUGCAGUCGAGAAUCUUCCGCAAUGGACGAAAGUCUGACGGAGCGACGCCGCGUGCGGGAUGAAGGCCCUUGGGUUGUAAACCGCUUUCGGAGGGGAUGAAAUCCUCGAGGGUUCUCCCUCGAGGUUGACAGAGCCUCAAAAGAAGCACGGGCUAAGUACGUG